UUUGCAAGAGGGCUGUCUGGCUUUGGGGCUUAGAACAGUCUCAGAUUCGGCUCAGAGCCUUUAUUCCUUUAGCUCAGCACUAACAAGCCUGAGGUAACGCUAUUUAGAGAAGAAAUUCCACUGGGACACCUGGUACUUUGCAGAGCAGAUGAACAUUUCUGGACCUGCUGUGGGGAGAGGGAGGCUGAGGCUGGGAUACCAGGAAACGGGUGCCUGCCAGCUGGCCAGGGCCUUGGAAGCUCAGGGCUCUCCGAGGUGGAGUGGACGUGGUGGUGGACGAGGGCCCCAGGAGCUCAAAGGGAUGACAUCACCCGCCUGAGGGCUCCAGCCUGGACCGGCUUUGGCUUCAGUAGUAGGAAGCUGGCACCCAGGGGCUCCAGGACUUCCCGGCUUGCUUCACAUCUCCUGAAUCCCACUCAGCUCUGCAGGUCUCUGCUUUGGGGUCCCAGAGCCAGCACCUGGCUAUUCAGACGUCCAAGUCUGGGAUUCAGUUCUUCCACCAGAGACCAAGCCUGGGGCAGCUGGCCUAGGAGCUCCUCCCCCAGCCUGCCCCUGGCUGCCCUGCGGUUCUGAAGCUCCACGCAGAGGAAGUGGAUCCCCAGCUCCGGCCAGGCAGCAGUCAGCUGCAGCAAACCCACCGUCCCCCUGCCGCGGGUCCACGUCCCCCAACCUACUGAGUGCGCGUGUCGCCUGCUUGUGGAGCAUAUGCUUGGCUGGUUGCUUGGUGUCUGCUGUUUAUCCGUCUCUUCCCACUUAACUUCUGUUCCCGCCUGGCCCAUCUGGCUCCCUGGUACCUGUCUUUCCCUUGGGCGCAUCCACUCCACCCCCCCGCCACCACUGUCUUCCCUCCACUACUUGCCUCCCAGGACCUGGCUCUUGUCCAUUCUGGGACUGCUGUGGGAGCACUUGACCUUGGGUGAAGGGGCAGCAAGGGAUGUCUGGGUCACAGCAGUGCUCAGGAUGCCCUUGGGGAGGGAGGUUGAGGUGGGUAGUGGAGGGCAGCAUAGGCAGGGCCUUGGACCUGGAUGAGGGUUGAGUCUGGUGGACACCCCGUCUCCCAGGUCCUUCUGAGCCACUGUCCUCCACAGGGCUUUCUUAGGGUGGGGGCAUUAGUUACUACUCUCUGUCCCCAGCAGAAGCAGUGGGAAAGUGACCCAUGAGAAGCAGCAGAAGGGAAGGAGCCCAGGGCGGAGCAGGGGUGGAGGGGCAAGGCUCUUCUGACCCAGAACCCUGGGGGCACACUGGCUCCUUCCUGCUGAGCAGGACCGUGGCAGUGUGGUGGUUUGGGCAGAAGGGAAAUUGGUGGUAUUGAGGGGAGACUGGAUGGCUCCCCUCGGCAGGCAGGCAGAUCAGUCCCACCCCAGCCCAUCAGACUAGGCUCCAUCCCCUCACCCCGGGCCUCUGCCACCUUGCACACCCAUGCACACACCUGCAAACUCUGCUGCAGCUCACACUCACCCCUCCAGCACAGCCUGCUUCCUCUCGUGUAAGAAGUGGCAGCUUCUGGCUUCCCGGGCCUCAUGAGGGGCUGGCCGAGCCUGGUUGGGGACGGAGAAGAGGAAAGACAGCCCCACAGGGCAGGGUGGCCCCUCACCUGCCUCCCUGCACCUGGGUCGCCCUCCAGGCUAAGGCUGCUGACGCUGCAAAGACAAGGAGGCUGCACUGGGCCUGAGUCAACAAGGACCCUCCACUUGCUGGGCCACCGGCUGCUGCUCCCUGGAAGCAUCUGCUUCCCUCGGAAGCCGCGGGGCUUGGCUGCCAGGCUCGCCGCCUGCCAUUCCUCUGGCCCUGCACUCUGUCUCUGCCGCUCCAUCUGGCCGCUCUGCCAGCUCCUGGCCCAGCUCUCGGCCUCUAUUCCCUUCUCCUUUCCUUCCUCCUGAGCCUCCUUUCUCCCCUACUCCGCCCAGCCACAUUCGUGCUGCAGUCCCAGGCCUUCCUCCCCUCUGUCUUUAUCCAUCCUGCUUCCUUCCCUGUGUUCAGAUCCUCUCUCAUACAUAUUCAGUGGCUCCUUGAAAAAUCCACCUAGAUUAUUCUCCAUGCUUGCAGCCUAGACCUGCUUCAGGAAUAGCGAAUAAAACUUCUUACCCUCUAAUUCUACAUCCUUGUCUCCGAUCUCAGUCUGGAUCAACUGCCAGGAGAGUGUUGGUAAAGCCGCCCACUCUUCCACCCAAGCACUUCUCUGUGCCUCCUCUUCCCACUGGGGACCAGCGCUGUGAGGUAAGUACCAGCCAGGACGACCAGGUCAGGAGACAUUGGGCCAAGCCUCCGCUAGGAGGGACUUGAGGAGUUCAGUCUUAGAAAUAAACGCAGGCUCCCAAUGUCUGAUCCCUUCGUCAUUCAUGACCCUUUUACAUCCGCCCUAUUAUCCCCUUACGACUCUGUGGGAGUCACUCCCCCAUCUCCACCAGUGCCUGAGGAACAGCUGGAAUCAGCCAGGCUUGGGACUUCAGCCCUGGACUGUGGCAGGUGAAUGAACAGAAAGAUCCGGAAAGACGUGGGAAGUGGCAGUUAAGAGAGGAGGGGGAAGACACUGAGCGGGCCCCACAGGGAGGGGAGGAAGGAGAGGCAGACCAGGGCAGCCCACCAGUGCAGGAGGUGAGAGGGCACACGCUCCCUCAGUUUUGUCUCUUUUCUCUGCCCACCUUGAGGGCACCUGCCUGUCUUGACCCCAUCCUCAGGGUCUGGCCAUCCUCUGCCCGUUUCUCUUCCAUCUUUCUGGCUCCUUCACCUCUCUGACCACCUCUUCUCUCAGUGACAAAGGAGCCAGUGUCUCCUCAAGGCGGCUGGAGCAAGUCCUCGUGGGGUGGAUGGCUGGUGGGUUACAUUUCUCCCUGACAGCUCCUGACUGCAAUCUACACUGCCCUCCUUCAUGAGCUGCCCCAUCCCCCACCCCGUGGGAGUUCCACCCCCACCCACAGUGCAGGCAGGUGCUUGGACUCACCUCUGAGACCCAUGGUGGGGCCCUUGGGCAGCUGUGGAGUGGACAGACCUCCUCUCCUCCAGGACUUCCUGAUACCCCUCUCCUGACCUUGCAGCCAGCCUCCAUUGCUCCCUAAGCACGGUGGUGCCCCGAGACGCCAGGAUCUGUCUCCCUGGCAAGGCUUUUCUUCCACACCCAGGUACUUCCUCAGUUUUGCAUGGGACUCCUGGGCCAAUGUCUUAAUUUCUUAAUUUUCUUUUUAAAUUUCUAUCCAGAAAAGAAAAA
rnacentral:lncRNA from 1 species